rnacentral:rRNA from 1 species
AGAGUUUGAUCCUGGCUCAGGACGAACGCUGGCGGCGCGCCUAACACAUGCAAGUCGAACGAGCGAGAGAGAGCUUGCUUUCUCGAGCGAGUGGCGAACGGGUGAGUAACGCGUGAGGAACCUGCCUCAAAGAGGGGGACAACAGUUGGAAACGACUGCUAAUACCGCAUAAGCCCACGGCUCGGCAUCGAGCAGAGGGAAAAGGAGCAAUCCGCUUUGAGAUGGCCUCGCGUCCGAUUAGCUAGUUGGUGAGGUAACGGCCCACCAAGGCGACGAUCGGUAGCCGGACUGAGAGGUUGAACGGCCACAUUGGGACUGAGACACGGCCCAGACUCCUACGGGAGGCAGCAGUGGGGAAUAUUGCACAAUGGGGGAAACCCUGAUGCAGCGACGCCGCGUGGAGGAAGAAGGUCUUCGGAUUGUAAACUCCUGUUGUUGAGGAAGAUAAUGACGGUACUCAACAAGGAAGUGACGGCUAACUACGUGCCAGCAGCCGCGGUAAAACGUAGGUCACAAGCGUUGUCCGGAAUUACUGGGUGUAAAGGGAGCGCAGGCGGGAAGACAAGUUGGAAGUGAAAUCUAUGGGCUCAACCCAUAAACUGCUUUCAAAACUGUUUUUCUUGAGUAGUGCAGAGGUAGGCGGAAUUCCCGGUGUAGCGGUGGAAUGCGUAGAUAUCGGGAGGAACACCAGUGGCGAAGGCGGCCUACUGGGCACCAACUGACGCUGAGGCUCGAAAGUGUGGGUAGCAAACAGGAUUAGAUACCCUGGUAGUCCACACCGUAAACGAUGAUUACUAGGUGUUGGAGGAUUGACCCCUUCAGUGCCGCAGUUAACACAAUAAGUAAUCCACCUGGGGAGUACGACCGCAAGGU